rnacentral:lncRNA from 1 species
UUUCUCUUCCACUGCAGCAGAUAGCCAGCCUCCCCUUCUGGCUAAGCUCUCCUCUCCUUGGAGGCUUUUGUUCAAUGGCACCGUUUCCGGGGUUAAUAGCUCCGAGGAUGGGGCCUCCUGAUGGAGCGAAAGAUAUUCAUGCAUCGUGUUAUUUAAGUCUCAAAAAACAAAUGCUUGAGUGGAGUUCCUCUCGUGGCUUAGCAGUUAACGAUCCCAACUAGGAUCCAUGACGAUACAGAAAGAAGCUCCUCUGUGUCAAGAUGGCGGCGGGCAAUUCUGCAUUUUGCAUUUUGGAUGUGCAUCCCAAGUGACACUCUGCGAAUGCUGUUUUGGGAGAAACGUGGUUCUGGACUCGAUAAGCUGGAGAAACACUGAAUUUGACAAGGUCAGCAAGGCUCCUCUCUUGCAGGACUUCUUAGAGCCUUUCAUUGUUAAUAGGCACUUUGAUCUAUUAAGAAGGGGCUCUGGUGUUUUUUUCAUGCUUUUUUAAUACUGGUGCUACUUUUCUUCACGAACUCUUUUCCGGGGACAAGUGGGACAUCGUCUGGGCCCUGCAGGUUUUGAGGACACCUCAGAGAUUCUUGGACUUGAAACGUCAAGUCACCCAGCAGAGGUGGUGACCGUGGGUAAAGAUGCUUCCUUUUUCAUAUCGAGUGGCAGAUCACCUUCUUAACUCUUGAUGAACUUGGCCACGGGAAUCAAGCCAGUGUGGAAAUCUGGCCUCACGAUCUGCCCCCUCUUCCUGGCACGGAGUGGAGAGGAGCUGCUGAAUGGGCAGAACCAGGAGGCUGCCUUGGACUAAGAAGCUUCUGCCUGUGCCACACCAGCCGAGAUUGCCUGAGGAAUUGAGUCAGCGUCUUCCUGGAUGGUGCUGAAAGGCUGGAUUCCUAGAAGACAGGAAUUUAUGGUGUGAGAGCUCCAGCCCCCGCAAACCCACAGCCAAGGUCAACAGCACGAGGCGGGCAGCGCUGCCAAGCAAGGAGGGGAGCCCAGAAAACCAAAGUACAUGCAUUUAAAAAAUUCUCUUCUCUCCCUCACGUUCCCAAAAGGGGGGCUCAAGAAAGGUCUCCCAGCCUGGCCCAGAUGAUCCCCUCACAGAGACAGAGCCUGUGAAGCUGCCGGGGAGGGGGUCUCUUGGGCCCUUGGAGGGUUUGAACGUAGCCCCAUUGCUGGGUCCCAAGCAUGGCAGUGACCGUCUGGUCUUAGGGGGUGGUAGCAAGCUACCCUUGGUGCCCUCUCCUUCUGGUCAACCAAGGGCAGCUAAGGUGCCCUAAGCCCUGUCACAGAGGCCCCUGAGGUGGAAGCCUGAUUCACAGUCUCCCCUCUGCCAUCUUGGGUCUUGGGUCUUGACUGCCUGCCCAACAGUAAACACCCAGUGCCUGGGGCCAGGGCUCCCUGUCACAGGCUGUGGCCCUGGACUCUGACAACACAGGACAGGCUUGUUCCAGCCCCCUGUGGUAGCCAAGCGGAGGUGAGGAGAGGCCUAGAGACCACCUUGAUUCGAACCCCAAUGACUUAUGCUGGCAAGGCAGCCCCCCCCCCCGCAGCCGGGAGCCCCCAAGAGUUUAAAUAUCCAUGUGUCACCCUCACACCUGCCACUCAUGGAGCCCCCUGGCAGGGCCAGGACCUGAGAAAGAAUAGGGUAGCAUCUUGCCCCAGAGUCACACCUCCAAGUGGGGGUGAAGGGAAGGCUGGCAUGGAAAUGGGGGGUGACCAGCACGUGAGGGGCUGUGGGUCCCCCCCCAGGAGCGAAUGACCCAGGGCUGGGAGGAACAACAUCGGUCAGAGAAAUCACGAAGGAGGCGGCCAGAGUUCACCAGGCGGACACAGAAUAGGAAAGGGGCUUAGAGGGAACAUUCCAGCCAAGUCUGCAGCAUGUGCAAAGGCCCAGAAUGUUUAUACCUUGGUAAGACUUUUCAUAUAAAUAAAUUCUCAGAUCCCAAACACAACCCAGACCUCUGGCAAACCAUAUGUCUGGGUUUCUUGCUUGAAGAAUGAGGCCUUGCUCUGCCCUGGAGCCCAGGGACCAGCCAGGCCAGUUCAGCGCUCAGUUCUUGCUCCCCCAGCAGCCACCAUCCCAACAGCACCACACAGCGCCCCCAAGGGGUCCACUUCUGCUUGGGUCUGUGCCCUCAGCCCCGGCCUCACCUGGCCCGCUUCUCCUCCCUGCCGUCUCCUUCCCAGGCCCCAGGACCGCCUUCAGCCUAUUCUCCACACGUGCCAGGAGUCAAGAAGGGAUGAGGGUUGCUCCCAGGGGGCCCCAGAGUCUCUCCGGUGUCUCUGCUCCCUGAGUGCCUAGAGUAGAGGGCGUCUGAACCUCCAGCUGGUAUUUGACGUUUUAAAUUUCUUUUUGGCCCUCAAGCAUGUCUCUUUCAGUGCCCUGCCCCCGCAGUCCUCAUCUAAUGCCUGCCCAUUUGUUUCUUAAAUAAUGAUUUUUAUUUUUUCUAUUACA